GAUGAACGCUGGCGGCGUGCCUAAUACAUGCAAGUCGAGCGAAUGGAUUGAGAGCUUGCUCUUAUGAAGUUAGCGGCGGACGGGUGGGUAACACGUGGGUAACCUGCCCAUAAGACUGGGAUAACUCCGGGAAACCGGGGCUAAUACCGGAUAACAUUUUGAACCGCAUGGUUCGAAAUUGAAAGGCGGCUUCGGCUGUCACUUAUGGAUGGACCCGCGUCGCAUUAGCUAGUUGGUGAGGUAACGGCUCACCAAGGCAACGAUGCGUAGCCGACCUGGGAGGGUGAUCGGCCACACUGGGACUGAGACACGGCCCAGACUCCUACGGGAGGCAGCAGUAGGGAAUCUUCCGCAAUGGACGAAAGUCUGACGGAGCAACGCCGCGUGAGUGAUGAAGGCUUUCGGGUCGUAAAACUCUGUUGUUAGGGAAGAACAAGUGCUAGUUGAAUAAGCUGGUACCUUGACGGUACCUAACCAGAAAGCCACGGCUAACUACGUGCCAGCCGCCGCAGUAA
rnacentral:rRNA from 1 species